rnacentral:rRNA from 1 species
AUUGAACGCUGGCGGCAGGCCUAACACAUGCAAGUCGAGCGGAUGAAGGGAGCUUGCUCCUGGAUUCAGCGGCGGACGGGUGAGUAAUGCCUAGGAAUCUGCCUGGUAGUGGGGGAUAACGUCCGGAAACGGGCGCUAAUACCGCAUACGUCCUGAGGGAGAAAGUGGGGGAUCUUCGGACCUCACGCUAUCAGAUGAGCCUAGGUCGGAUUAGCUAGUUGGUGGGGUAAAGGCCUACCAAGGCGACGAUCCGUAACUGGUCUGAGAGGAUGAUCAGUCACACUGGAACUGAGACACGGUCCAGACUCCUACGGGAGGCAGCAGUGGGGAAUAUUGGACAAUGGGCGAAAGCCUGAUCCAGCCAAGCCGCGUGUGUGAAGAAGGUCUUCGGAUUGUAAAGCACUUUAAGUUGGGAGGAAGGGCAGUAAGUUAAUACCUUGCUGUUUGGACGUUACCAACAGAAUAAGCACCGGCUAACUGCGU